rnacentral:rRNA from 1 species
UACAGAGGGGGCGAGCGUUGUUCGGAAUUACUGGGCGUAAAGGGUCUGUAGGUGGCGGCGCAGGUGGGGUGUGACAUCUCCCGGCUUAACCGGGAGCGGCCGCUCCAACCGCGCCACUCGAGCCGUGCAGAGGUCGGUGGAAUUGCCGGUGUAGUGGUGAAAUGCGUAGAGAUCGGCAGGAACACCAAGGGCGCAAGCAGCCGACUGGGCACGUGCUGACACUGAGGGA